rnacentral:lncRNA from 10 species
GGCAUUUCCUGCCCAAAUGUUGCAUUUCCCAAGACCACCCUGGCCCACCACGCCCCCAUCCUGGGCCUAUAAAAACCCAAGACCCUGGCGGGAAGACACAGAAGUGGUUGGGCGUCGUGAGGAACGCAUCGGCGGCAGAACACUCAAGCGGCUGGUUGUUGAGAGCACGCCAGCUGAAGAGCACCCCUGCACACUGGCAGGCCAUCCACAGGUGUCAGAAACUCAGCUCAGCUGGAAGAAACUUGAUGUACCAGGUAUCAGAGUAGCAAGUAAAGCCACAAGCCAAAAAUGAAAGAGAAUCUUUUAAGUGCUUAUCGUGAUGGUGUAAGUAAUUGUCCAAAAGAAACGCCGAUUCCUUCUGUUCCAUUUUUACCUGUGGAUUGUGGAUUGAAAUAACCAUUGGACCAUGAGGAGAGACUCUGAAGAGAGGCUAGUGAUAUGUGAUAUAAUACUCUUUUGUGACGUUGGACCAUGGCAGUGAGCCGCAGCUCCCAGUCAGCAAUGCGAUCCCAAGAAUAAACAACCGAUUCUUGACAGUGUCCUAUGUUGCCAGUCGAUUUUGUUCAACAGUAGGUACAUGCAAGUACACCCCACUCCCAAAUUAAAAAGAUUGACCUUAGCCAAACAUAACACGGUAAGAGCAAGUGCAAUGAAAUGGUUUCAAAGAACACUUAAACAGAGUAAUGUAAAUAUUAUUCAAGGGGUGCCAUGUUAUUUUAUUAACGAAUAUGAUCAUUGAAUUGUUGUGAGCAGUAGCAAAGCCUUGAAGCAACUAUCUUGCUUAUUACUGCGUGAAGUUUCUUCAAAGUUAGAAGUAAACUCCUGACUAAUUCUCCCGUUCCCUAAUGUUGGUCAUAAGUUGCUUCUUGAAAUACUCCCAAAUUUUCAUUUUCUAUCUUCUACUAAAACUAAACUUGCCAUUUUUUUUGUCGCUAUGUCUUCAAUUCAUUCUUAAUAUUUGUUUUGGCUUUUAGCUUCUGUUGUCCCCUGCCAAUGCUUCUCCCAAAAUCACACUCU